GAGGGUAUAGCUCAGUGGUAGAGCAUGUGCUUAGCAUGCACGAGGUCCUGGGUUCAAUCCUCAGUACUUCCA
rnacentral:tRNA from 1 species